AGAGUUUGAUCCUGGCUCAGGACGAACGCUGGCGGCGUGCCUAAUACAUGCAAGUCGAACGCAUUUUCUUUCACCGUAGCUUGCUACACCGAAAGAAAGUGAGUGGCGAACGGGUGAGUAACACGUGGGUAACCUGCCCAUCAGCGGGGGAUAACACUUGGAAACAGGUGCUAAUACCGCAUAAUUCCAUUUACCGCAUGGUAGAUGGAUGAAAGGCGCUUUUGCGUCACUGAUGGAUGGACCCGCGGUGCAUUAGCUAGUUGGUGGGGUAACGGCUUACCAAGGCUGCGAUGCAUAGCCGACCUGAGAGGGUGAUCGGCCACACUGGGACUGAGACACGGCCCAGACUCCUACGGGAGGCAGCAGUAGGGAAUCUUCGGCAAUGGACGCAAGUCUGACCGAGCAACGCCGCGUGAGUGAAGAAGGUUUUCGGAUCGUAAAACUCUGUUGUUAGAGAAGAACAAGGAUGAGAGUGGAAAGUUCAUCCCUUGACGGUAUCUAACCAGAA
rnacentral:rRNA from 1 species